CGACUGCAGCGAAAGGCGGCGGAGAGAACAGCGACGGGAACAUCUGUCGCUCAGCGGACAUGGCUACACCUCCCUAAGCGCCUGUAUGUUCAAAAAGCUGUUAAGAGGUCAGAGUUGAUCAGUGGCUGUCCAGGCCUUUCAGAGCCACUGACACACCAGCAGCACAAUGAUGAUGUCACUGACUCUACUGCUGAUCAUCCUGGGGCUCCUGGUUCAGGGUUCAUCAGGAGACAUCAUCCUGACUCAGACUCCUGGAUCUCAGUCUGUUGGUCCAGGACAGACUGUCUCCAUCACAUGUAAAACCAGUUCAGGUGUUGGUAGCUAUCUCAACUGGUACCUUCAGAAACCUGCAGAAGCUCCUAAACUCCUGAUUCAAUAUGCUACAACUCUUCAGUCUGGAGUUCCAGCUCGGUUCAGUGGAAGUGGAUCUGUUUCUGAUUACACUCUGACCAUCAGUGGAGUUCAGGCUGAAGAUUCAGGAGUUUAUUACUGUCAGCAGGGUUAUGACAGACCGAUCACACAGUGAUAGAACGUCGUACAUAAACCUCCCUCAGCUGGAGAGGAACUGAUCUGACUCAACAGCUGCACUGAAACUAAAACAUCCACAAAUUAUUUAUCUAUUUUAUAUAUAUAUAAUUUUUUAUGUCUAUUUGGAUCUGACACACAAA